CUUUCCCCUUCAACCCCAUUCUCCUGCCUUCUCCCCAUACCCCCGCAAUCCCUUGACACCCAUAGUAAUCAAGAACCUAUGAAUCUCUACCUUACAAAUAUCAAUUGACGGCCUCCACAGCCUUCUGUGGCAAUGAAUUCCACAGAUUCACCACCCUCUGAC